AACACUCUUUUCGCGUGCUUUUGAAUGAAUCAAAGAACGUUUAGCCUUUUCAUAUCGUCGAUUUUCGAAGAUUGGUAAGGUGAUAUUAUUCAGUUGCAUAGUUCAUUGAAGUUUGGAAUGAGAACCACAAAUUCGAAAAUCAAGCUAUAUUGAAAAGAAGUUCAUUGAUUUAAAGCUUUUGACUAUGAGCCACGAUGGAGACUCCAAAAAACCUUUCACUGAAGUUAGAACCUCUGUCCGAAGAGUGGUGCUUCUGAGGAAAAAAUCCAUGAAUAAUGUAUGUAAAUACUCAUGUUUAUGUGCCAUGAUGUAGUUAUGUAAAAUUUGCUUAACAUUGAAAUUGCAGCAACAAGGAAAAAGUUGUAAGGAUAUGCAGAUUAAUUACCUAUUGUAUAUUCCGGCACACUUUUAAUGCUGUGAAAAUAGGAUUAAAACUUAUAGGUGCACAUUAUAUGCCAAAUAUAAAAAUGAUAGAUUAAAAAUAGAAAAAUCAGCAUACAAAAGUGUACAUUUUUCCAUGUACUUAUGCUGUUUAUUUAAAGCAAUGAUAUAUCUUUUGAACUUAAAAACUUUUCAUUAUUGGAAAUACAUGAAAAGUUAGUCUUCUGUUUCUUCAGAUACAUCGAUUUCUGUUUCAUAUUCACUAUCACUGUUACUUUAAUCCAUAAAUUAAUUAUCCAUUCCAUCCUUCACCAACACCAAAUAUCCUUGCUGCGGCAAUAUUUUCAUUUUCUUUCACAAACUCAUUGAAAAUGUUUCAAUCAUUUGAAACCAGCGUUGUGUUGUUUCGUUUGGCAGGAGCCAUAUUUGCUACUAAAAGAAAUGCUAGGUCAAUUGUAAUUUAACUAAAGCCUUGAUGUUCACUUCAAAAGACCACAGAAAAAUAAAACACCCGAAUCAUAAUUCCGCAAAUUGUUUCUGGUUGGAUGUACAUUCUUAUUCCAAAUUAUGUCUUCCUUUUCUCAAAAUCCUACAAUAGCAUUCUUUUGGACACUUGCACUGAAUAUAGUGCACCCUCAUUGUAGGUAUAUUUACUCCCUUAAGCAUUUAACCCACACACAUUUUCCCCCUUAUCACUUGUCAGUUCAGUAUAUCAUUGUUCGAAAGGCUAGGACAAAUCUUUGAACAAGUGACCUCAGACAAUAAGCACAUAUAUCUUUUAGGUUUCUUCAUAAAGAAUUGAGUACGUGCUAUAUGACGAAUAUACCUAAAAAUAAAAAAUUAUAGAUGUGCAUUAUUAUAUGCUGGAAAAUAAAGUAAUUCUCUUGUGAUUUGAUAGUGCAGUGUCUCAUUCAUCAACAUAUCUGUUAUCACUUAAAGCAGAAAAAAAUGUAACCCUUGAAUUCAGAGGUGCUGUUUACCACUAGACUAGAUUAUUAUGAAGUGCUAAUCAUACUAUAGAAAUGAUCUUGGAUUCUUAAGAGUUAACAGUUGACCAUUGCUUUACCAUGGGGUCAACAGGUACCCUUUCACUGCAACUUUGUGUGAUUUUUCAAGAUUCAGUACUUUUCUAACAUUACUGUUUGUUAUAUGUGUAUUGUGCAUUUAUGAUGAUGCAAUGCUUGUAAUGAGUUGUUUCAAUGAAUAUGUCCAGACAUAUAAUAAUAAAAACCCUGCUACAUUAAAACAAAUCAGCAGAACUAAAUUGAAAUAAUGCAAGAGUUUUAUUUUUACACAUGCUCCACACACACAGUCAACACAUGGCUCCUAACUGAGAGACAGACGGACUCUCUCUCAGUUCAAAAUUACAGUUGAACUGCAGUUAAAAAUACAGAGUGAAAAAUUAAUAAACAAUUAGAAAUUAGAAAAGAUACCAAAAAACGCUUUACAAAUUAGUUUGAAAUGUUUACAAUUAACCAGUAUUUUUCCUUUACAAUUAAUCAUUAUUUUAUAAUUUAUUAUUAAUUUCAAGGCAGCAGGCAAAGCCAUCUUCGAAUAACUGCUUCCUGCAUAGUGCAGCCAUCUAGUGAUGAGAUGAUGAAGUUCUAACAAAUACUUGCUUGGCUUGUAGUUUAUAAGAGAACUUGUAAAAGCUAAUGACUUAAUGCAUUUUAUGUUUGCAAAAGAGACCAGAAGCAAAAUGAAAAAAGAAAAAAAAGGGGGGGGGAGGGGAAGCAACUGUUGUAAUGGAAUUUUUGUCUCAUUGCACCAACAGUGGAAAAAUUCCUAAACAGGGAUGACAUAAUUCUGUGCCUGUUUGUUAUCAUAAUCGUUAUUUUGACGAUGUUUCUUCUGUGUUCUUUCUUUUAAUAAAGAACUUAUUUUGGAACUAUUUAUGAUAAAUGACAAAUGUGGAAAUCUCGUUAUUGGGCAUUUAAAUAGAUAAUGCUCUCUCCUAAUUUGCUGCAGAUGCAAGAAUCUGUUGAAAAAUUUCUGGGGUAAAAACAGGUAGAAAAUGGCCCAUGGCCUGAUAAAAUAGUUUAUUUGGAGUAGCUGUAAAUUUGUUUGUAUAAUGGUUUGGAAAUUUAUUGAAAAUCUUUGUCUUUUGUAUGUACCUUCAUUCCUGUUGACAUGCUGUCAUUGUCAUUAUUGUGUCUUGUGCAGUUUCUUUGUAACUUUAUCUGCUUGUUAAAUUUCUUCAUGUUCUGUGUUAGCACUGAUGAACAUUGUGUAUCGUAUUAGUUGCAAGGAAAGUAAUUGAUUCAAUUCAUACCAGGUGGUGGCCAGAGAGGAACUUCUGUUUGGACGGAUAGAAAAACGUUACUUAGUUAUCCUCUGUACUGCAAUGAACCUGGACAUACUAAAUGUCUGCACUAAACAUCAGUUACAUUUCAUAAAUUCGUGUAUUAGCAUUUUAUUACCGUAGGUCAGGGGUUCCCAACCUUUUCGUCCUUAACCCCUUAACCUACGAUUUAGAUUCGAAGAUAUUGGGCCGAAAUUGUAUACAAGCUUGCGCAGCGUUCGGGAUAUUUGCAAGACUUGUGUAACACGCUAAUCCGGGCAAUCGUAAACGUGACAAAUUAUGUAAUUUUCGAAGAAAGUACAUAAUUGACGAUCAACUACCAGAGUCCUGGCUUUGGAAAGAAAUAAGAAAUAGUCCAAAAAUCUGGGACUAUACAAUGACACCUGUCAUAAGAGAGGAAGCCUUAUGUAAAUUAGGGGGAAGUAGAGGAGAAUUUGAUAUAUUUAAUCUUCCAAAUUGAUAUUAAGUAGGAUCACAAUGUCAAUAUUGUAUGUUUGACAGUAUUGAUGUUAAUAUCAAGACUAAACAUUCUAAAAAUAAAGGUAAACGACUUACCUUUUCAAUCGAUCUUUCUCGUUCUUCUCCAAAGGGAUAUCCAACAAUAUUUUUAUUAAUUACACUCAUCACAAAAAAGAGAUGCUUCUAAGAUAAUAAGGUAUGUUUAGUUCACUAUUCACAUUACUAAUUAUGUACACAAUACUGAGGGAAAUUUGCCGGUUACAUCUUUCAUUGAUGUGUCCAUUACAUGUUCUACUUCGGCUGCGUGCAUGCACAAAUCAUGUGUAGUUUGGUAAGAGUUUUAACAAUGAGAGGUUCAACACGUAGCAUGAAGACCAUUCUGUAGAGCAACAGUACGCUGUAUAAGCAACAAAAAAUUUCCAGCCAAAGAACCAUGAAAGUUCUCCUUCCUCCUUUUAUCUCUCCAGGCUUUUUCUAGUUGAGCAUUACUUUAAUAUCAUAGGUUAGUUAUUGCAAAACAAAGACCCAGCUGCUAAUCAUGAUGCUUUUAUAUGUGCAUGCUCUUGCAGCAAGGCAAAACAUCCCUCAGAUAGGAUUGUGUCAGUGAUAGUAUGCCAAUGUGUAUAAGUGCACAUAUUUCUGCUUUAUGGUGGUCAUGUUAGAAAUAAAUUAUGUCCGUGCAUUUGUUUCCAGUUUUUUUUCAUCAAAUGAUAACGUGUCUAUUGAUACUGCGAAUUUCAAAUUUCUAGUUCAAAUUUCCUUGGUGUUGCAGUUUUAGUAUUGAUGAAUGUAUAUUUUUGUCAGUUGUGCCAUAUUUUUGGAACUAAUGUAUUUUAAAAUUGCAUAUUUGUUUAUAUAUAUGUAAUGUGUAUCAUGUAAAUAAAUGUUUUAUUUGUAA
rnacentral:lncRNA from 1 species